ensembl:lncRNA
GUCUUAGACCCCUGUGUUCUAUGUUUCUUGAUCUUGUUAGUUUAUGUUUAGUUUUGCCACAGUAUUCUGCCAAGUAGUCUUAGAUUCAUGUUGUUUAUGUCUCAGUGUUUGUUUCAUGCCACAGUGUGUUUCCAAGUUGUCAUAGUGUAUUCGUUUCUUAGUACGUUUCCUUCAAUAAAUGUCAUUAUCUGCACCUGCUUCUGGCUCAACCUCGACUUGUGACAAGUAUAGGAUAUACACAUCUCAGAGGUGGAGGGUAUAAAAAGCCCUUAAGCUAUGAAGGACUCUCUGCUCCUCCAGAUCCCCAACCUGGCUCUCUACAUCAUGUAAUGAAGAUCUAGCCAGAGGCAAGGCAGGAUCGUGAGGAGUGAGGUUUUGAUCAUGUGGAGCACCUGCAAUACAACCGAAGUGUCUAGGGUUGGGGCACACCAGGGCAGCCCUCGAGAGGUCUGACUAUGCACAUUAUGAACACCCUACAAUCAGGCAGCUCCACUCACGGCUCGCUCUCUUCUCGGUUGAAAGGAGUUGACUUUCAGAGCCUCAUGAGUCAGGUCC